CCUGGACGGAGGUUGCUGACGGGCUGCCGCCCCGCCCACCUGCUUAACGAAGUUCUCCUUGAUGGCCGCUCGCCGUGCCGGUGAACAAGGAAUAAUCCCGGCCAGCCUCCCAGCGGCAGCGUGCGGCAGCGUACGGCGGCGUACUCCGAAGGCAUCGUGCCGCCGGGCGCGGUCGCAGACGUGGAGCGCUUCUCGAGCCCCUCCCGUCCGCCGGUAACGCGCCCCCGCCGCUUCGUCCUCGUCGCCGUCGACCUCGCCGCCUCGGCCUCCUCUUCAUCGAGGUGGUGGUGGGCUGGCGGCGGAGGUAAGCUAGAGCCUUCCACUUCUACUCGAUUUCUCCGAGGUAGUUGGCCUCCUCCACGCCGCCCCGCCGGCGUCCAAUUCCUCUGAUCCUCUCUCCGGUGCUCGCCGUGCCGCCGGCCAGGGUGAUCUCUGCAAAACCAUGGAUCCGAUUAGGGGGUUUUAUGCAAAUAAUCGGAUCGCGAUUAAUAGUCGCGAUCCAAAUCAAGGGGUCAUGUGUAAAUGUUCCCCGCCGCCAUGGCUCUUCCCUCCCGGCGAAGGCGACGGCGAGGGCCGCCUCCUCGUUGCUCAUCGACUGAUUGUCGCUCUAGGCCGCACUCAUCCACUGCAACCGCCUCCCCACCAAACCCCCCCGCCGGCGCCGCCGUUACAUCGACCCCGCCUCUCCUCCAUUGGGAGCGGAAGGUCCCCUGCUCCCAUUCCCCAAUCCGCGCCCCAACCAAGCCCAGCUCCACCCCUCACUCGCCUCCUCUUCUUCCGCUCUAGGCCAAAGACCUCAAGCACGGGAUCCUCUGCCUCUGCGAGGAGCUCAAACUCCUCCAAGGUACGCCGUGCGUGCGCCCGCUGACCCACCGCGUUUGCUCGGCUCCAAAAUGUUCGGAUCGCGUGAUCGAUUUCUGCCCAUUGCGGCCCCAAAUGUGCGGAGGAGACGGAGCCGCCGGUUGUGUCAUGCCGGUGCCACUUCUUCGACGGGUGCGGGGACCUGCCGCCGCCGCGGCCUGGAGUCGAUGUGCAAUGGCGUGUGGAUCGAUCUCUUCCUAGGAGUAACUUGAUCGGACGGUGUUCUUGAGAUUUUACUGAAACCUUAACUCUACAACAUUUGUCAGCUCUCUAGAUAACGAUCUGGCUUUAGACUGCAGUUCUACUGCAAAAUACAGCAGAGAUUUGGGAGAAUAGGCACUCUUACUGCUGCCUAUUUCAGGUUACCAUAUAGGAGUAUGAUAUUCAGUUGUCUGAAGUGUAGUUUCAAUUUUUUUUUUCAUUUUGCAGAUUUCAACUAUGAGGAUUAGAUGCAGAAACUUGGCUUGUCAGCUGCUUUCCUGGUUGAACUAUCAGACAGCAUCUUGGCCAGAGUAAAUCUAAUGUUGAAUUUGCUUGUACAUAGAGAAGCUUGCUCCUCAUUUGCUACAUUUUCUCACCAAGCAGUAGACUUCAUUUUGGGAUCAGUUGACUAUCAUAUGCACAAUUCUGAGAGCAGCACUUGUUCCGUAAGUUAGGAAACAAGGAGUUACAUUGGCCAUCUGAUAAUCAUUUCAGUUUCUCAAAAGAUCUCAAGUAUAUCAGAAGGAUUGCUUUUGGCUGACCCGUUUGAUUGAUACUGUCCCUGACAUGCAUGGCAAUAUAUUCAUUCAUCAUGCAUGCUAUUCUUCUAUUCGUUCUGAUUUAGAUUACAUAGAAGGGUGUUGACUCGUUAAACCAACAUGGUUGCCCAGUGUAUCUAUCUUGACUUCAUGAUUGCCCGGUGUAUCCAUUUUAACUCUCAGUUAAGAACAAACAGUUGGCUUCA